rnacentral:rRNA from 1 species
GAUGAACGCUGGCGGCGUGCUUAACACAUGCAAGUCGAGCGAGAAAAGUUCUUCGGAGCUUUUCUAGCGGCGGACGGGUGAGUAACACGUGGGCAACCUGCCUCAUAGAGGGGCAUAGCCGUCCGAAAGGACGAUUAAUACCGCAUAACAUUGUUGAAAGGCAUCUUUUAACAAUCAAAGGAAUAAUCCGCUAUGAGAUGGGCCCGCGGCGCAUUAGCUAGUUGGUGAGGUAACGGCUCACCAAGGCGACGAUGCGUAGCCGACCUGAGAGGGUGAUCGGCCACAUUGGAACUGAGACACGGUCCAGACUCCUACGGGGGGCAGCAGUGGGGAAUAUUGCACAAUGGGGGAAACCUUGAUGCAGCAACGCCGCGUGAGUGAUGAAGGUCUUCGGAUUGUAAAGCUCUGUCUUUAGGGACGAUAAUGACGGUACCUAAGGAGGAAGCCACGGCUAACUACGUGCCAGCCGCCGCGGUAAAAC